CUGCCCUGAGGCACAUGGAGUUCCCAGGCUAGGGAUCAGAUCCCAGCCACGGCUGGGGCCUGAACUGCAGCUGAGGCAACGCCAGAUCCUUAACCCACUGUGCCAGGCUGCUGAUCAAACCUGCAUCCUGGCACUCCCAAGAUGCCACCAAUCCUGUUGCAUUUUCCAAUUCUACAGGUCUGGGGUGGGGCCUGAGGAUCUGCAUUUCUACCAGUUCCCAGAGGAUGUUGAUGCUGUGGGUACAGGGGCCACACUUUGAGAGCUGCUAGUGUAUUACACCUUCCCCCUCCUGUCUGCAAGCUAUGUCCCCUCUUUUUGUAAUCGCACUUUGAUUUUUCCUUGAGGAGCCAGCCCUCCUCCAGUCUCAGACCAUGUUUUUGGAUGUCGUCCACAUCCUCCCUCUGUCCACCCUCCACUCUAAGGAUGGGCCCAUGACCUGGGCUUGGCCAGCCAGGGAAUGGUCACAUUUAGCACAUGACCCAAUUUCAGCCAAAGGUCAUAAACCAGGAGGUCUUAGCAAGAACUCCUGGGAGAGCAACAAUUCCUUCCCAGAAGAUUUCUAAGUUGGUGGCCUGUUAACAUGAAGCAGUGGGAGACCGUAUUGCCAUAACCACAUAGGCAUAAGCCGCCUGAGAAUAAAGCCAACGUGGAGGAAAGGAUGAAAUGAGAGAGGCUGGAUGCCAUCUCCUGGAUAACUAGAUACACUUCUCCCCAAAGCCUGUCUAUCCCGGGACCUCAUCUGAGCCCUGUCUUUUUGCAUAAGACAGCAGAAUAUCUAUAAUCUCAAGGUUUUCAAACCCCACCCCACCCACUCCCAAAGUUCAGGCUAAGAGCCACCAAGCUGUAGCAAUAUCUUUAGAGUGUUCCUAAUUUCCAAACAAAUGCUUGAGCCUUCCCCUUAUUUUUGUCAUGGUCUGUCUUCAAUGAUGCUUCCAGUCAGAGUCCAUCUUACAUGAAUUACGCUCUUUCCCUCCCUAUGUGUCCAUUUUAUCUCAUCUCCAUUCCCCACAACAGUGAACCCCAAAGAAUUCCUGCUGGUCUCGGCCUGCAGACACACUGAGCCGGGUAUAUCACAGUGCUGGGCUUGGUAUCGGGAACCAGUAGGAACGCCCUGUCACACGGGCUUCAGGAACACUGGACCAUGACCGCAGGCGUCUGCCCUUUUCACCGAGAGACACGGGUGCAAUGUUGUCCUUUCGAGUUAUUCUCCUCGAAUUUACAGGAACAGAGUUUUCCAAAAAAAAAUCCCGGUAUUUAUCCACAUUUCCUAAUGACAACUCAGCCCAGUGACAGAAGGAACAGCAACUUUGCCCCAACUCAGGCCUAGAGAACCUUUUUAAGUGCCAAAUACAGGACAUGCCCUCUGCAGGACCUGCCCAGUGAAGGCUGUGCUCAGGGUUUCUGGCGACCACAGAGGACAGGCCUGCCUGCCCCACCUGCACCGUAACCAGUCACUUGCCUGCCUUUUCCUCCAGCAGAGAAUGUCACUUCCAGCGCCCACUCCCAGAUGGUGAGCCAGAGUGCUAGCUAGAGUCCUGAAGAAGCUCUGCAAGUGAUUUCAACGCGAAAUGAGGGCUAAGGACCGCGGACCUUGGGACUAUGGGAUUAGCUCCUGCAUGGAAAAUACACCACUUAGGAAGCACCUGGACUCACACAUUUUCACUUUCUCAAACUCUGACAGCUGGGACUUUGACUCAUUCUCCCACGGCCUGCUAUGCUCUCCAGUUACCUAACCGCAUCUGCCUGUAGAUUUCCGGCCUGUGAACUGCCUGAUGCCUGAUACCAGGGUGGCUCCUAAUCGUCCCCAAAUUAUUCAGUCUUGGCUUCUACUUGUGACUGUGGCCUAAAUUCUAAGGGUCUUGCCAAAGAACUGAUCAUUUAUUCAACAAACAGUUGGUUUUUGAAUAUCUACUAUCUGCAAGCCACUAAACUAACUUAUACGUGGGAAUUUACAUGGGAAGCAUAUGAGAAAUAUAAACUGAACAACACCUGUUCCCUGAGAAAAGACAAAGGACAGGGGGAGUUCUAGGAAAUCAGUUCGUUCAUUUUUUUGUGGCAGAAGAAGGAAUCUGGAGACAGACCAAGACUGGACAUAAGGUAGAGGUUUCAUGUUUAUGUAAAGAAGCAGAACUGAGAUUAUAAUCAUCAGUGACCAGAAACACGUACAUUGCUUUUAUAUUUAAUUUGAGCUCCAAUUAUGUCUUUCAAAAUUAUAUAAUGUCCACGUGGAUGACCACUGCCAGGUUAUAUGUGUUAUUAAAAUAGCAAGGUUUACAAAAAUAAAGCAUGAUUGCCAGCAUUCUGCAUAGUACUCUCUUCCCCUAAUUACGCCUGUUGAUGUGGUCUAAGCAUGGCACCACUGCGGGCCCUGUGGGUGCCUCUAUCCCCUUGGUGGCAGCUCCUAGACUCCAGGGACUAGAUCACUAGGCAGCUCUUCCUCUCCAUUUUCAACUAUGCCCUGCAAAUGUGUCCCUCUGUCCCUCUGUGCCUGCCCCAGGUGUCACCUGUCUGCCUCCUGCUGAAAAAGUUAAGCCCCAGCUUGCCCUGCCAAUCAUCCUCUGGUUUUCAGGAAGGAGGUAUCGCCGAUCACCAUCGGGUCUGAACCAAGCCCCAGGUAAGGGUGGUCCAGGUGAUGGUGAGAAGGCCGUGGGUUUCACCAAGGACUGAGGUGUCUUCCCAGAGCAGCCAGUGUCCGUGCUCUUCUGGGAGACAGUGAGGGCCACCAGGAUAGGUUCCUGGAGAUCCGAGCUUGGGAGGAGACAAGCUAUUUAUCAAAGUGAAAGAUGACUGCAGUUGGAGUUGCUAAAAACAAACCACUCCAGGUUGUAUCUACUUCCCCAAGCUCGCUUCUAAGUAGGUCAAAGUGUUCCCAAAGUAGAGCAGUGAGAAGGGCCCGUCUAUCACUUUGGCUGAAGGCUUGCCUUGCUAAGUGUCCACAGCAAGACU
rnacentral:lncRNA from 1 species